UACGUAGGGGGCGAGCGUUGUCCGGAAUUAUUGGGCGUAAAGAGCGUGUAGGCGGUUCGGUAAGUCUGUCGUGAAAUCCUGGGGCUCAACCUCGGGCGUGCGAUGGAUACUGCCGGGCUAGAGGGUGGUAGAGGCGAGUGGAAUUCCUGGUGUAGCGGUGAAAUGCGCAGAUAUCAGGAGGAACACCAAUUGCGAAGGCAGCUCGCUGGGACGUUACUGACGCUGAGACGCGAAAGCGUGGGGAGCAAACAGG
rnacentral:rRNA from 1 species